AUUGAACGCUGGCGGCAGGCCUAACACACGCAAGUCGAGCGAGCGGCGGACGGGUGAGUAAUGUCUGGGAAACUGCCUGAUGGAGGGGGAAAACUACUGGAAACGGUAGCUAAUACCGCAUACCAUCAGAUGGGCACAGAUGGGAUUAUCUAGUAGGUGGGGUAACGGCUCACCUAGGCGACGAUCCCUAGCUGGUCUGAGAGGAUGACCAGCCACACUGGCACUGCUCCCCCGUCCAGACUCCUACGGUAGGCAGCAGUGGGGAAUAUUGCACAAUGGGCGCAAGCCUGAUGCAGCCAUGCCGCGUGUGUGAAGAAUGCCUUCGGGUUGUAAAGCACUUUCAGCGGGGAGGCGUUACCCGCAGAAGAAGCACCGGCUAACUCCGUGCCAGCAGCCGCGGUAAUUC
rnacentral:rRNA from 1 species